rnacentral:rRNA from 1 species
CCUACGGGUGGCUGCAGUCGAGAAUCAUUCACAAUGGGGGAAACCCUGAUGGUGCGACGCCGCGUGGGGGAAUGAAGGUCUUCGGAUUGUAAACCCCUGUCAUGUGGGAGCAAAUUAAAAAGAUAGUACCACAAGAGGAAGAGACGGCUAACUCUGUACCAGCAGCCGCGGUAAUACAGAGGUCUCAAGCGUUGUUCGGAAUCACUGGGCGUAAAGGGUUCGUAGGCUGUUUCGUAAGGCGUGUGUGAAAGGCGCGGGCUCAACCCGCGGACGGCACAUGAUACUGCGAGACUAGAGUAAUGGAGGGGUAAGCGGAAUGCGUGGUGUAGCAGUGAAAUGCGUAGAUAUCGAGAGGAACACUCGUGGCGAAGGCGGGUUCCUGGACAUUAACUGACGCUGAGGCACGAAGGCCAGGGGAGCGAAAGGGAUUAGAUACCCUAGUAGUC